rnacentral:pre_miRNA from 14 species
GCACUAUCCUGGGCCUUACAGGCUGCUAUGGCUGGUCAAACGGAACCAAGUCCGUCUUCCUUAGAGGUUUGGUCCCCUUCAACCAGCUAUUGCAGUACUGAGCCUCAACAGCGCCCCCC